GCAAGACCUCGUCAGUGCUCAGAAUGCAUGCUAGUACCCGUGUCAUCAGUGUUUUCCUCUGCAUUGUGGGUGGACAAUGCCAUACUGAAUCAAACUACGUGAGCACUUUGCAUUGUCAGCGACUGGUGCCGCCCGCUAUUACUUCCGCUUUGACUCCCUGCCGAUUUCCAUGUAUAAUAACAUACCUAAGGCCACCUUUCUAUAUUAUUAUGCAGUCUGAGCCUGAUGGAACACCGUGCAGGCCUACGGGCCAUUGCAGUGAAGGCGCCUGCCUUGAUAUUGGCAAUUUCGCUGCCCCAGGAAACUUCGAAUGGGGACCCAGGUCCGGCAUGACAAGCUACCACAACAGCAAUACCAACGGUGACACUCAUGCCGGUAGCACUGCAGUCUCAACUGACCGCGACUAUAUGAGAUACGGCUUUCUCAGUGAAGAAAAUCUCAAUUGGAAUACCAACAAUGUUGUGAGCAAAAAUGGAAAGGAAAGCGGCGGCCCUUCAUUUCCCCGCGAAGGGAGCGCGCGAAGUGCACUUCAGCAUCUGUUACGUAAGAAACGUGCUGCGUCUCUAUCCGAAGAAGGGCGUGGCGGAAUCCAACUGACUGAAAGUGGAAAAUAUAUUUCCCUGCCCAGAGUCAGAAGGAGCCGUAAAAAGCGCAGAAUAACCUUAUUCGCUGGUCAUCCUCAAAGCAAUGAUAAUGGGAAUGCUCAUUCGCUUGCAGUUCACCCGCUACGCAAAAGAAGUAUAGGUAAUACUCUAGUGACAGGAGUGGCCAUGGGUGCGGGGUCCGCCAUCGGAAGUACACUCAUUCACGAAGCUAUUAGAAAAAUAAAGAAAUUCAAAAGCAAACGCAAACGCAAACGCGAGCGCAAGGGUUCCAGCGGAGAUCAAGGUGCAGAUGCCACAUUCUCUCAACCUUAUACAGGCCACGUGGGGCGUGACGCAGUUGGCACUCAAGGCACCUAACACAGCCCACAUAGGAUCCGGCACGCCCGAGGCACUGUCGUUCUAGCAAGCGUGAAGAGGACAUCCGCGGGGGCUCAGGCCGGCACGACCACGCAACCCGACGGCACUGGAACGGACACGAACAAUCCUGCUGGCAUCGACGAGGCUUGAAACACCAAUAUAAGUAAAACCGACUCAAGCGAGGGCAUCAGAACAAACAAGACCGAGGAAAAUCAAUAAUACCAGAACCGACGCGACAGAGAUCACGAACAGUACAAAACCAGCGUUACCAUGAAUGGCCAGGUUACAGGAACGAAUGCCACCGAGAAAACCGAUACUACCACAAUAGACAAAGCCGCAGCUGCUGGAUCCGGCACCACCGAGAAAAACACCUACAACAGUGACAGUUCUCCUUCUACACUCCUGACACUAUUGGUGGACACAGAAGCACGGGGUAGAUCAAAAGUAUGGGUGAUAAUUGACGUAACUGGCAUUCACACCGACGUUGACAAAGAGCAUGAAGGGACCAGAACUUAAAAGAUCAAAUAACUAGUACACUGGAAGCACAUCUUCAACUAACGAACAUAAAGGGCUUUGGCAGAGGGUUCAUCUCACAAGCAGCCUAACUCUGAGUUGCGAGAGUUUCCCUAUCGCCACUGGUAAAUUGGUGAUGGAGUAUAGAGGGGCAAAAGGCAAACUCUUUAAUCCAUUUCAAUCAGUAGGGGCGUCGUUCGUUUAGUAAUGGAUAAAAAGUAGGCGCGUCAUCAUACGGUAAUGCUUCAUCGUGGCGAUUACGAUAUUUUAGCUAUGCUAGUUCAACCAGACCCUCCCCUUUCGUGGUGACUGCGGAAUUCUCUGUGAGAGGCAUGUAGUUGAGCACUGGGAAAUAAUUUUCUCCAAGUAGAUCUCCAUAGGCCUAAGCCUUAGUCUUGGCGCACGGACAUUUGGCAUUCCCGCUGAAUAUUAUUUCUUCCAAAUUUUUAUUUGCAGGACAGCAAAAUUAGUGACUUAUAUAAGCCAGUGAAAGCAUCCAAUAAGCAAAACGGCUUUCACGCCAAAACACUACCGACGGGUAUUUCGGGAGUCGCAUUAGCGAAACAAUUGCUGGUAUCUGUGCCCGCUUGAAGUAAUGAGCGGCUUCAAUCGGACCGUUUCUAAAUGGAAUCGUAGAGCUUGAAUUUAAUUCAAAAUAAUUGAACGUUGAUCUGUGAUUUUAUGAUGGCAACUUACCUGUACGCUAUAGGAUGUAUUUUGCAGGUUGCCGCUGCCUGUUAAAAUAUCGUAGCUCGACUUAGGGGUGUUGCGUCAUAAGCCGAAAGUGAUAUCUGAAUUGCCGGAAAAAAGUUUGUUUAAUGAAGAAGCACGAUUAUUUGCCGACAGUUAGCUUUAAUAAAAUG